UAGGGAAUCUUCGGCAAUGGGGGGAACCCUGACCGAGCAACGCCGGCGUGAGUGAAGAAGGUUUUCGGAUCGUAAAGCUCUGUUGUUAAGGAAGAACGAGUGUGAGAAUGGAAAGUUCAUACUGUGACGGUACUUAACCAGAAAGGGACGGCUAACUACGUGCCAGCAGCCGCGGUAAUACGUAGGUCCCGAGCGUUGUCCGGAUUUAUUGGGCGUAAAGCGAGCGCAGGCGGUUAGAUAAGUCUGAAGUUAAAGGCUGUGGCUUAACCAUAGUACGCUUUGGAAACUGUUUAACUUGAGUGCAAGAGGGGAGAGUGGAAUUCCAUGUGUAGCGGUGAAAUGCGUAGAUAUAUGGAGGAACACCGGUGGCGAAAGCGGCUCUCUGGCUUGUAACUGACGCUGAGGCUCGAAAGCGUGGGGAGCAAACAGGAUUAGAUACCCUGGUAGUCCACGCCGUAAACGAUGAGUGCUAGGUGUUAGACCCUUUCCGGGGUUUAGUGCCGCAGCUAAUGCAGNAANGCGCUCUCGGCCUGGGGAGUACGACCGCAAGGUUG
rnacentral:rRNA from 1 species